rnacentral:rRNA from 1 species
GCGACCCCAGGUCAGGCGGCACUACCCGCUGAGUUUAAUCAUAUAAAUAAGCGGAGGAGAAGA